rnacentral:rRNA from 1 species
UACGGAGGGAGCUAGCGUUGUUCGGAAUUACUGGGCGUAAAGCGUACGUAGGCGGAUUAUUAAGUCAGAGGUGAAAUCCCAGGGCUCAACCCUGGAACUGCCUUUGAUACUGGUAGUCUAGAGGUCGAGAGAGGUGAGUGGAAUUCCGAGUGUAGAGGUGAAAUUCGUAGAUAUUCGGAGGAACACCAGUGGCGAAGGCGGCUCACUGGCUCGAUACUGACGCUGAGGUACGAAAGUGUGGGUAGCAAACAGG